CCAUUACCGUGCCAGGCCGUAGAAUGGGGUCCUGGUCUUUCCUAACUCUGUGCCAGGCCGUAGAAUGGGUCCUGGUCUUCCUGUCAUGGACUAAUUGGGUCAUCCAACAUUCACCCACAUCAACAACAAUCGAUGCAAUGCGGCAUAUUCGUGAACACUAAUGCAAUCAUCCUAUUGCAUAAUCAUGAUGCAUGAAACAUGAUAAAACAUUUAAU
rnacentral:lncRNA from 1 species